GUGGGGAAUCUUCCGCAAUGGACGAAAGUCUGACGGAGCAACGCCGCGUGAGUGAAGAAGGUUUUCGGAUCGUAAAGCUCUUUCGUUAGGGACGAACGUGCUCUUUGUGAAUAAUGAGGAGUAAUGACGGUACCUAAAUAAGAAGCCACGGCUAACUACGUGCCAGCAGCCGCGGUAAUACGUAGGUGGCAAGCGUUGUCCGGAAUUAUUGGGCGUAAAGCGCGCGCAGGCGGGAUAUCAAGUCUGUCUUAAAAGUGCGAGGCUCAACCUCGUGAGGGGACAGAAACUGGUAUUCUUGAGUGUCGGAGAGGAAAGUGGAAUUCCAAGUGUAGCGGUGAAAUGCGUAGAGAUUUGGAAGAACACCAGUGGCGAAGGCGACUUUCUGGACUGUAACUGACGCUGAGGCUCGAAAGCCAGGGGAGCGAACGGGAUUAGAUACCCGUGUAGUCC
rnacentral:rRNA from 1 species